rnacentral:rRNA from 1 species
UACAGAGGGUGCAAGCGUUGUUCGGAAUUACUGGGCGUAAAGCGCGUGUAGGCGGCGUCGUAAGUCAGAUGUGAAAGCCCUUGGCUUAACCAAGGAAGUGCAUCUGAUACUGCUUCGCUUGAGUGUCGGAGGGGAUGGCGGAAUUCCUGGUGUAGAGGUGAAAUUCGUAGAUAUCAGGAGGAACACCUGUGGCGAAGGCGGCCAUCUGGACGAUAACUGACGCUGAGACGCGAAAGCGUGGGUAGCAAACAGG